UACGGGGGGGGCAAGCGUUGUUCGGAAUUACUGGGCGUAAAGGGCUCGUAGGCGGCCAACUAAGUCAGACGUGAAAUCCCUCGGCUUAACCGGGGAACUGCGUCUGAUACUGGAUGGCUUGAGAUUGGGAGAGGGAUGCGGAAUUCCAGGUGUAGCGGUGAAAUGCGUAGAUAUCGGGAGGAACACCGGUGGCGAAGGCGGUUCGCUGGGCCUUGCCUGACGCUGAGGAGCGAAAGCGUGGGGAGCGAACAGG
rnacentral:rRNA from 1 species